UGGUGCCUAUCCCAGCUGUUUUUGGGCAGUAGGCGAGCGGACACCCUGAACCGGUUGCCAGCCAAUCGCAAGGCACACAGAGACGAACAACCAUCCGCACUCGCACUCACACCUAGGGACAAUUUAGAGUGUUCAAUCGGCCUACCAUGCAUGUUUUUGGAAUGUUGGAGGAAACUGGAGUACCCGGAGAAAACCCGCACAGGCCUCGGGAGAACUGGAAGAUGGAGCUGGAAUUGAACCCAGUACCUCUGCACUGCGAGGUCGACACGCGAACCACUGGAUACCGCCCAAUAUAAUUAUUAUUGGACACAUUUUUUUUUUAUCUCUUCCAGUCUCAUCACUAGUUUUAAGUUGUUUUAGUGACCAUUGUGAGAUUUUUCCUUCUUUAACACAAGGUUGCUGACCAUUUAUUUUACUUUCAGGGAAUAAGUUAUAAAGGUAAAUACUGUAUUCCACUCUUUGUUCUGUUAAAAAAAAACAACAACAACAACUUAGCAGAUACUGUAUAUCUCCCUAAACAGUAUUUCAUUAAAGGCAUAUCAUAUUACUCAGGCUGUGUAUGACUCACAAGCACAUGCUUGACAUUGGCAUUGUCAUACCUACUGUUCACUGUUAAUAUUAUGUUGGAUAUGAUGGAAAUAUAUAUGAUUUGAAGAUUAAUAUUGAUGUACUUUUUAAAAAUAAAUAAUGACUUGGCCAAAUCGAAUCAGGCCUUAUUCGCAGUUCUCCAAUAAUAAUAACAAUCUCAUUUCAAUGUCUAUAAGGAUCUUGUCACUCAUUUUGCGCCUUGACCACAUGAUCCACUUAAAAAUAUAUUUUUGUGCCCUUAUAUUGCUGUAAUUUUUGCUUUAGUAAAUAUUAUAAUAAUUAUUAUCAAUUCCCUUUGCAUUAUUAUUUUUUCUCUCAGUGUAAGUGUGUUUUUCCCACUACAGUAUUCCACGACCUUUCGGCCCCACCGAGUCUUAUCUCAGAGCGGUCGUGUGCUGGAUUGCUGAGUCACCUUUGGUGGGAGGUUGCUCUUAUCUCCUGAGAAGCACAACGUUCAGGCAGUUGCUUGCAAAAGGAGGAACUUUGGGCAGGGGCGCUGUGGCCUGCUGCGUCUUCUUGGCUAAAAUGAGGAUUGCAGCAACACUCGCCGACUUCCUCAAUUCUUUCGAGUUGGGGUCAGCCUAUCCCAGCCGUCUUCGGGCAGUAGGCGGGGGACAGCCUGAACCGGCAGAAACAAGCAACUAUUCACACCCACACUUAGGGACAAUUUUGAGUGUUCAAUCAGAAUGCCAUGCAUGAUUUUGGAAUGUGGGAAGAAAGCGGAGUACCCAAAGAAAACCCACGCAGGCCCGGGGAGAACAUUCAAACUCCACACAGGGAGGCCGGAGCUGGAAUUGAACCCGGUACCAAUGCACUGUGAGGUCGACGCGCUAACCACUGGAACACCUGGACGCCUGAAAGAAAUAUCAACAUUACUAAAAUGAAUGUAUUAUAAUUAAAGAGAAAGCGUAUUUAGAGUGAAAGACUGUUCUCUUCGCUUUCUUUGAUCCUGGAAUAGUUUUCUCCUGUAAAAUACAACUGUUGGGGAAAAAAAAGAUCAAAAAUGUAAUGUUUUUGUUUGGACUAGAUUCGGUUUUGUUCCCUCGUGUCCUUUUGUCUUCACCUGUUCUCGUCAUUCGGGUCCCUUGUGUUAACCCAUAGGUGCCAAAGUCAGGUCCUGGAAGGCCGCUGUCCUGCAUGGUUUCCAAGUCUCCCCGUUGCAAUGCACCUGAUUCAAAUGAACUGGAUCAAUGUCAGGCUUCCACAGAGCUUGCUCAUGAUCUGAUCAUUUGAAUCAGGUGUGUUGCAAUGGGGAGACUUGGAAAACAUACAAGACAGCCGCCCUCCAGGACCUGAGUUUGACACCGAUGUGUUAACCAAUCAGCUCCCACCACCCUUUGUGUCCUUUACAAGUGUUUCUCGUUGUCUCGUCAUUUUGCUUGUAUUUAGUUCCUUGGGUUCUGACAGUCUUUGUUGGAUCAUUGUGAGUAUGUGAACGUCUGUGUGCUCCUGUCAUACUUUGUUUCUGUCCUAAGUUUUUGCUACAUUGGUUCCUUGUUGGUUUCCAGACUUUGAGUACUUCAGUAAGUUUUUUGUUAAUAUAAUUUGCUCAGUCCACCGUGUACCUCCUGCCUCCCUGCUUUUUGGGGUCCUGCACCUACCACCUCGAAAACGUGACAGAAAAUUAGCUUUACAGGCAUCUUUCUUAUAAUCUUCACGUAGAAGCAACCCUCAAAUCUUCUCGAUUUACAGGUUUAAUUCCGCCCAUGAGUACCACAAUCCAACAACGUUGAUUUUGCGAAGCCUACGGAACCAACUCGGGCAAGGUAUUUUGCUUUUAGAUGAUACAUCAAGGACAUAUGACUAAUAUGCUGUACUCUUAAUGAACGUACCAACACAAGUCUUGAAGAAAUGAUUGAAUUUGACAUGAAUCUACAUGUUCAUUUCUGAACUGGGUCAUUACAAGUUAUGGUAAACAGAAAAUCUUGAGGUUGAUCCACAACCUGAAGCAAGUCAUGUUGUUGUAAUUAAUAUCACUCGGCAAGUCUGGGGAGGGGG